AGGAAUAUCCCCUGGAGUAGGAAAUGGCAACCCACUCCAGUAUUCUUGCCUGGAAAAAUGCAUGGACAAAGGAGCCUGGAGGGCUACAGUCCAUGGGGUUGCCAAGAGUCAAACAUGACUGAGCAUGCAUGUACGCACUCCACCUGGAUAGCAGCGGGUUAGAACAGAGUGCAGAUUAAGCCGCAAGAUCGGGGUCUGAGCUGGGUUUACAAUGGUCUGAUUCACACCUGCCCUGCGUCUUCAUUUAUGUGUGCAUUCCAGACACAAAGGAUGCUAGGGAAGAAUGUGAAUGGAGCAUUCACAAAUUCAUCACAGCUUCUCAAAGAACAAAGUGCAGGAAACAAGGCUCAAGAAAUGUUGCAUGGCUUGGUCUUUCACGUGACUCAGAAGAGGCAAAAGUGAAAUCUGAAAUCCUGCUGACUCUAAAGCCUGUGCCCUCAACCAUUAGGUUUUGUAGCGUUUCCACUCCUUCUGUUUUGCUUCCCUGUCUGGGCUCCUUCCUAGUUCAAGAUGGACAGUCAUCCAUAAGUUCCAUGUCACAUCUGUCAUCCUGCGUUCAAAG
ensembl:lncRNA